GACGAACGCUGGCGGCGUGCCUAAUACAUGCAAGUAGAACGCACAGUUUAUACCGUAGCUUGCUACACCAUAAACUGUGAGUUGCGAACGGGUGAGUAACGCGUAGGUAACCUGCCUGGUAGCGGGGGAUAACUAUUGGAAACGAUAGCUAAUACCGCAUAAUAUUGAUUAUUGCAUGAUAAUUGAUUGAAAGAUGCUAUUGCAUCACUACCAGAUGGACCUGCGUUGUAUUAGCUAGUAGGUGAGGUAACGGCUCACCUAGGCGACGAUACAUAGCCGACCUGAGAGGGUGAUCGGCCACACUGGGACUGAGACACGGCCCAGACUCCUACGGGAGGCAGCAGUAGGGAAUCUUCGGCAAUGGACGAAAGUCUGACCGAGCAACGCCGCGUGAGUGAAGAAGGGUUUCGGAUCGUAAAGCUCUGUUGUAAGAGAAGAACGGGUGUGAGAGUGGAAAGUUCACACUGUGACGGUAUCCUACCAGAAAGAGACGGCUAACUACGUG
rnacentral:rRNA from 1 species